UUUCACCUCACACAACCAAUGGUUUUUAAAAGCUGUAAUGGCGCCAAGUGGUUAAUGUGGUAUUGAGUGUAUUCCCACUUGGUAAACGAGAGGGUCACUUGAAAUACUUGGUAGCUUUAUGAGUCCGAUAAUGCUUCGCAUAUUUCGAAAAGCUCAAAGUACCGCUAAGUUUAAGCCUUUACUGGUCACUCUUUAGCUGGGAAAUUUUUGAAAUGGAGUUGUUGUCACUGACUUUAUACCAAACUUGAUAUUGAAUAGCAGUCGUAGUUGCUGUAACUAUUCAAAAUCUUUGAAC
rnacentral:misc_RNA from 1 species